UACGUAGGGGGGCAAGCGUUGUCCGGAAUCAUUGGGCGUAAAGAGCGUGUAGGCGGCUCGAUAAGUCUGCUGUGAAAGUCCAGGGCUCAACCCUGGAAGGCCGGUGGAAACUGUCGGGCUAGAGUCCGGAAGAGGCGAGUGGAAUUCCCGGUGUAGCGGUGAAUGCGCAGAUAUCGGAGGAACACCAAUGGCGAAGGCAGCUCGCUGGACGGUACUGACGCUGAGACGCGAAGCGUGGGAGCAAACAGG
rnacentral:rRNA from 1 species